rnacentral:rRNA from 1 species
CGGCAGCACGGACUUCGGUCUGGUGGCGAGUGGCGAACGGGUGAGUAAUACAUCGGAACGUGUCCUGUAGUGGGGGAUAGCCCGGCGAAAGCCGGAUUAAUACCGCAUACGCUCUACGGAGGAAAGGGGGGGAUCUUAGGACCUCCCGCUACAGGGGCGGCCGAUGGCAGAUUAGCUAGUUGGUGGGGUAAAGGCCUACCAAGGCGACGAUCUGUAGCUGGUCCGAGUGGACGACCAGCCACACUGGGACUGAGACACGGCCCAGACUCCUACGGGAGGCAGCAGUGGGGAAUUUUGGACAAUGGGCGAAAGCCUGAUCCAGCAAUGCCGCGUGUGUGAAGAAGGCCUUCGGGUUGUAAAGCACUUUUGUCCGGAAAGAAAACCUCGUGGUUAAUACCCGUGGGGGAUGACGGUACCGGAAGAAUAAGCACCGGCUAACUACGUGCCAGCAGCCGCGGUAAUACGUAGGGUGCAAGCGUUAAUCGGAAUUACUGGGCGUAAAGCGUGCGCAGGCGGUUCGCUAAGACAGAUGUGAAAUCCCCGGGCUUAACCUGGGAACUGCAUUUGUGACUGGCGGGCUAGAGUAUGGCAGAGGGGGGUAGAAUUCCACGUGUAGCAGUGAAAUGCGUCGAGAUGUGGAGGA